UUUUGCAUUUGUGCCCUCUAACAUCCCCUUCCCUUUUCUGUUGCUGAAAGUUUUCCCUUGGGCACCGCAAGAUCAAUGUGAAGGUGGAGUGAAACAGCAAAGGAACGCUCUAAUAGGUCCUUCGUAUCUACAAUGUCCUGGACAUGAAGAACACGACCUGCCAGGACCUGCAGAUAGAAGUGACAGUCAAAGGCCACGUCGAGUACACGAGGGAAGCAAACGAGGACUAUGAGGACUAUGAGUACGAUGAGCUUCCAGCCAAGGACGACCCAGAUGCCCCUCUGCAGCCUGUGACACCCCUGCAGCUGUUUGAGGGUCGGAGGAACCGCCGCAGGAGGGAGGCGCCCAAGGUGGUGGAGGAGCAGGAGUCCAGGGUGCACUACACCGUGUGCAUCUGGCGGAAUGGCAAGGUGGGACUGUCUGGCAUGGCCAUCGCGGACAUCACCCUCCUGAGUGGAUUCCACGCCCUGCGUGCUGACCUGGAGAAGCUGACCUCCCUCUCUGACCGUUACGUGAGUCACUUUGAGACCGAGGGGCCCCACGUCCUGCUGUAUUUUGACUCG
rnacentral:sRNA from 1 species